GACGAACGCUGGCGGCGUGCCUAAUACAUGCAAGUUGAGCGAUGAAGAUUGGUGCUUGCACCAAUUUGAAGAGCAGCGAACGGGUGAGUAACGCGUGGGGAAUCUGCCUUUGAGCGGGGGACAACAUUUGGAAACGAAUGCUAAUACCGCAUAACAACUUUAAACAUAAGUUUUAAGUUUGAAAGAUGCAAUUGCAUCACUCAAAGAUGAUCCCGCGUUGUAUUAGCUAGUUGGUGAGGUAAAGGCUCACCAAGGCGAUGAUACAUAGCCGAGCUGAGAGGGUGAUCGGCCAACACUGGAAUGAGACAACGCCCAAAAUUCUACGGGAGGCAGCAGUAGGGGAUCAUCGGACAUGGACGAAAGUCUGACCGAGGAACGCCGCGGGAGUGAAGAAGGGUUUCGGAUCGUAAAACUCUGUUGGUAGAGAAGAACGUUCGGGAGAGUGGAAAGCUCAUCAAGUGACGGUACCUACCCAGAAAGCGACGGCUAACUACGUG
rnacentral:rRNA from 1 species